GAUGAACGCUAGCGGCAGGCCUAAUACAUGCAAGACGAACGGUAAGUUGAGUAGCAAUACUUAGCCAAGAGUGUCGUACGGGUGCGUAACACGUAUGCAACCUACCCUAUACAGGAGGAUAGCCUAGGGAAACCUGGAUUAACCCUUCAUAGUAUUAUUGGAUGGCAUCAUUUGAUAAUUAAAACUGAGGUGGUAUAGGAUGGGCAUGCGUCUGAUUAGUUAGUUGGCGGGGUAAUGGCCCACCAAGACGAUGAUCAGUAGGGGUUCUGAGAGGAAGAUCCCCCACACUGGCACUGAGAUACGGGCCAGACUCCUACGGGAGCAGCAGUAGGAAUAUUGGGUCAAUGGAUGCAAGUCUGAACCAGCCAUGCCGCGUGCAGGAAGAUGGCCUUCUGGGUUGUAAACUGCUUUUGCCAGGGGAUAAAAUUUCCAUGCGUGGAAAACUGAGGUACCUGGUGAAUAAGCACGGCUAACUACGUGCCAGCAGCC
rnacentral:rRNA from 1 species